rnacentral:rRNA from 1 species
AUACGUAGGGGGCGAGCGUUGUCCGGAAUUAUUUGGCGUAAAGGGCGCGUAGGCGGUGACACAAGUCAGGUGAUAAAGGCACGGGCUCAACCGGUGUUAGGUACUUGAUACUGUGUUGCUAGAGUGCAGGAGAGGGGAGUGGAAUUCCAGGUGUAGCGGUGAAAUGCGUAGAUAUCUGGAAGAACACCAGUGGCGAAGGCGGCUCUCUGGACUGCAACUGACGCUGAGGCGCGAAAGCUGGGGGAGCAAACAGGAUUAGAUACCCUGGUAGUCCCAGCCGUAAACGAUGAACACUAGGUGUAGGGGGUAUCGACCCCCCCGGUGCCGGAGCUAACGCAAUAAGUGUUCCGCCUGGGGAGUACGGCCGCAAGGUUGAA